UACAGAGGGGGCGAGCGUUGUUCGGAAUUACUGGGCGUAAAGCGUGCGCAGGCGGUUUGCUAAGACCGAUGUGAAAUCCCCGGGCUCAACCUGGGAACUGCAUUGGUGACUGGCAGGCUAGAGUAUGGCAGAGGGGGGUAGAAUUCCACGUGUAGCAGUGAAAUGCGUAGAGAUGUGGAGGAAUACCGAUGGCGAAGGCAGCCCCCUGGGCCAAUACUGACGCUCAUGCACGAAAGCGUGGGGAGCAAACAGG
rnacentral:rRNA from 1 species